CCUAUCACCUGGGCAGUACCGCCCUCUCCUAAGGGUCCAGCUGAGGCCCUGGGGCUGAUGCCCACUGGCUCUGGUUGGACUGAACCAAUCCCUGGGGACGGAUGGACCCAAGCCUCAUGAACUGGAAGGGGCUGGGGUGAGUGCCAGUAAAAGGGGCUGCUGGACGAGGAGGGUGAAGCUUUCCUGAAAUGAUAAAAACUGUCAUCCACUGUGGGCACAGGUCCAAAGGCGCAUCCACCUUUCUAUCCCAGAAGUACCCAAUACCUCUCAUACAACUCUCUGCAAUGCUUACGAAAGGAAAUGGGAAGAGUCUCAAACUUACAGAAAAGCUGGAAAGAUAAUACAAAUACUAUCCAUCGCCCUUCACUUAGGUUCCUUCAUUUGCCUCAUCUGUUUCCCUCUCUCCCUCUCUUCCCUCCUCACUUCUGAACAACUUCAAUUGCAGACCUUGCAGUACUUCCUCUGUAUCAAAGAAGAAAAACAGUGUUCUAUACAACACCAACAUCUUUACACAUCCAAGAAAUGUAACACUGUGCAACAGUACAGCCUUAUAUACAGUCAUUCUGAUGGAAGAUCAGCGAAGGAGGAGCGAGGUGGACCCCACCAAUACUCUCACACUGUACGGACAGCGUGGACAGCGUGGCCCAAGGGGGGACAGCGAGGUCUCUCCUAGGUGUGGCCCCUCUGAAGGCACUGCUGGAGUCACCACUGCAACGUCUGCUGGUGCCUGGCAAGUGGCUGUUCCUUCACCAUUGAAUGCUGACAACAGGACACACAGUAAAGGGGCCGGGGUGGAUGGCGCUCCAUGGCCAGCUUCCAGAGGCAGCAGGCACGAAAGACAAACCCCUCGGUGCUGGAGGAGAUGAGGAGCACCUUUCUGACUUCUGGGCCAUAAAGAAAAAUUCUGGGAAAAUUCUCCUUUUGUCCUUUGGUGCUGUACCCAAGAAUCCAGAGGUCCCAUGGCCUGACAAAUGGUGAUUUCCAAGGCUGCGGACUUGCUCUCCUUCACCACAGAAAGCUAGACUUACGGCCACACUAGUAAAAAUGGCCACUUCCAGAUCCAGCAGCCGUCCCUUAGCAUUCAACAAAGGGGAACCCCAAACAGUUAGUGCCUAAGGGAGUGUGUGAUCCGAGAGCACAGAGGGCCCUUAGACACCAUCUGACCGAACUCCCACACCGGCUGGAUAGCUGGGGACCGGUGCCCG
rnacentral:lncRNA from 1 species